UGGUUCUGGCAUCGAUGAAGAACGCAGCGAAAUGCGAUAAGUAAUGUGAAUUGCAGAAUUCAGUGAAUCAUCGAGUUUUUGAACGCAUAUUGCGCCCUCUGGUAUUCCGGAGGGCAUACCCGUUCGAGCGUCAUUUUCUCCUUCAAGCAUGGCUUGGCUAUGGGUGCCGCGUUCCUCUCGCGCGCCUCAAAGUUUACCGGCCGAGCGAUCUAUCCCGGAGCGUUGUGGCAACCUGUCUCGCUCUCGGCGGUGGCGCUGCGGUCGUGAAACCCUUCAAAGUUGACCUCGGAUCGGGUAGGGAUACCCGCUGA
rnacentral:misc_RNA from 1 species